GACGAACGCUGGCGGAGGGCUUAACACAUGCAAGUCGAACGAAGGGGCGAAAGGGUGAGUAAUACGUGGGGAAGCGGCCCUCCUUUUUGGGGUAAGACUUGGAAACGGGGUCAAAUAGCGGAUAAAGGGGGAUGGGCUAGCGGCCUAUCAGGUUGUUGGUGGGGUGUUGGCCUCCCAAGGCGGUGACGGGUAGCCGGGCGGAGAGGGGGACCGGCCAACUUGGGACUGGAACACGGCCCAGACUCCUACGGGAGGCAUCAGUGUGGAAGCUUACGCAAUGGACGAAAGUCUGACGGAGCAUCGCCUCGUGAGGCAUGACGGCCUUCUGGUUGGAAUGCUCUAUCGGGACGGCUUCGGUACCAACAGAAGAAGUGACGGCUAAAUACGUGCCAGCAGCCGCGGUAAUUC
rnacentral:rRNA from 1 species